rnacentral:rRNA from 1 species
CCUACGGGAGGCAGCAGUGGGGAAUAUUGCACAAUGGGGGAAACCCUGAUGCAGCGACGCCGCGUGAGUGAAGAAGUAAUUCGUUAUGUAAAGCUCUAUCAGCAGGGAAGAAAAUGACGGUACCUGAGUAAGAAGCCCCGGCUAACUACGUGCCAGCAGCCGCGGUAAUACGUAUGGGGGCAAGCGUUAUCCGGAUUUACUGGGUGUAAAGGGAGCGUAGACGGCAGUGCAAGUCUGGAGUGAAAGGCGGGGGCUCAACCCCCGGACUGCUCUGGAAACUGUACGGCUGGAAUGCAGGAGAGGUAAGUGGAAUUCCUAGUGUAGCGGUGAAAUGCGUAGAUAUUAGGAGGAACACCAGUGGCGAAGGCGGCUUACUGGACUGUAACUGACGUUGAGGCUCGAAAGCGUGGGGAGCAAACAGGAUUAGAUACCCUGGUAGUC